AAUUCUCUCUCUAAAAAAAAAAGCUCUCAACCUUCUAACACCGGCCUCCAGUCCAGUCAUCGGCCGGUCGUCGGCCACCGCGCCGGCCGCCAAUCUCUGGCGCCAGCACCACCGUCUGCGGUGGCCAAAAAAAAGGAAAAAAAAUCCCUUUUAGCCUUCUCGACCUCCUUUGCCCAAAUCUAGGCUUAAAUCCCACAAAACACAAACGAAAAUGCCCCUAAAAGCACUGAAACCUUUCGGCUUCCGGUCGUCUUUCAUCAGAGACGAUACCCUCAGCCAUCCACGGUGAUCUGAGGCUUCAAAACACAGGUUGUGUCUUCUCUUUUCCCCUAUUUAUUUUAUUCGUACGUAUAUAAUGGUAAAAAAAAUAUAACAACAGAAAAUAAAUAACAACCUUUAAUUUGAUUUUUUGCUCUCUAUAUCGCGAAAGUGGUAGUUUUUUAUUCUGAUUUCAAAAAUCCGGGCUUGUUACAGUAUGUUCAAAGGCUACUUAUAGCCAUAAUAAUAAAAUAAAUAAAGGAACAUAUUUUCUUCCGAUUUGAUUUUCUAUUCUUUGAUUCCCUUUCCAUUUUUGCAGGUGAAGAUUGCGUAGAUUCAGCUUGGCUUGGUUGCGGCGCUGUUGAAGAUUAGAAACCCUAGGGUUUCAUCCUCUUUCUUGGGCCUCCGUAUUUGGGCCUCUGUUUGUUUUGAUUUGGGCCUUGUGACCUAUUUUGUAACCAAACUAUUAUUAUUAUUAUUAUUAUUUUUUGCCUGGUACGGGUCGGGCAUAAAUUGGUCAUUACACUUGUUAUGUAGCAUGAUAUAUUUUUUUUGUUAUUCAUAUAUAUUUUACUAUUCAUAUC
rnacentral:lncRNA from 1 species